rnacentral:lncRNA from 1 species
UUGACAUUUCCUUGGACCUUUUCCUUUCUUCCUAAGGGAGUGGAGUAAGAAAAGGGGGACAUAAGAACCAAUGUCUGUUAUUAAGGACUAUCAAGCACUUUGAGCCCUCGAGGUGGAGGUUGCAGUGAGCCAGGAUUGCACACUAUACUCCAGCCUGGGUGACAGAGUGAGACCCUGUCUCCAAAAAAUAAAAAAAAGGCAACAUCAGGAAGUUACCCAAUGUGGUCUAAAAGGGGGAGGAACCCUCAGUUCUGGGAGUUGUCCACCCCUUUCCGGGAAAACUCAUGAAUAGUCCAUCCCCUGUCCAGCAUAUAAUAAGGGGGUCUUCCUUCUUUGCUUGGCCCUUCUCCUUUCUGCCACCUUGUGAAGAGGAUACCUUGCUUCCCCUUUACCUUCCACUGUGAUUGUAAGUCAUGUACUCUGCCAGCCUGACCAACAUGGGGAAACCCCGUCUCUACUAAAAAUUAAAAAAAAAAAUUAACUGGGCAUGGCGGCACGUGCCUGUAGUCCCAGCUACUUGGGAGGCUGAGGCAGGAAAAUUGCUUGAAACCGGGAGGCAGAGGUGGCAGUGAGCCAAGAUCGCACCACUGCACUCCAGCCUGGGUGACAGAGCGAGACUCCGUCUCAACAACAACAGCAACAAAAGAAUGUUCUUCAUAUGAGUGGGUCUCAUACAAUCAACUGAAGGCCUGGAUAGAACAUGAAAGGGGAAUAAGAAAGAUCACCUCCCUCUGCCUGACUCCGAGUUGCCACAUUGGUCUUCUGCCUUUGGACUCAGGCUCAGACUGGAACUUAUAUCGUUAGCUUGUCUGGUUCUCUGGCAUUUGGACUCAGACUAAAAUUAUACCAUUGGCUUUCCUGGGUCCAGAGAGAUCGAUCCAUUAAUAUAUAAGUAUAUAGGAUACUAUUACUAAUAGGAUAUAUAUUUUACAUAUAUACACACACAUAUAUAUAUAGUAUGUAUAUCUAUUAGUAUAUAGAAUACUAUUACUAAUGGAUAAAAAUUAGAAAUAAAAGAUAUAUUUUUAUAUAUUUAUGGAUAUAUAUUAUAAUGGAUCCAUUACAAUAUUUAUAAUAUAUACCCAAUAGUAAUAGUAUUCUAUAUACUAAUGGAUAUACAUAUAUAAUAUAUAUCCAUUAUUUAAUAGAUACAACAUAACUCUGCAUUUAGGAAGGUUCCAUAUAUCUAUAUCUACAUGUAGAUAUACUACAUAUACACUAUAUAUACAUAUAUGGUAUUCUAUAUACUAAUGGAUAUCCAUAUAUAAUAUAUAAUGGGUAUAUAUUCUUUCUAUAUUCAUAUAUGCUAUAUAAUGGAUAUAUAUUCAUUACUAUAUAGAUUAUACUAUCUAUUAUAUACUAUAUACUAUAUAUGAUAUACAUACAUAUAAAAAACGGAAAUACAUAUCUGUAAUAUAUAUAUAUAUAAUGGAAAUAUAUAUCCAUAAUACAUAUAUAAUGAAUAUAUAUUCUAUAGUAUUCUAGAUACUAUUGCUAAUAUGAUAUAUAUAUUUUAUAUAUAUCCAUUAGUAUAUAGAAUAUGAUUACUAAUAGUACAUAAGUAUAGAAAACUAUUAGUAUAUAGAAUAAUAUUACUAUUGGGACAUAUAUAUGUAAUAGUAGUUCUAUUUUUCUGGACAACAGAGAGAGAGAGAAAGAGAGAGAGAGAGAGAGAGAAUGGGAUAAAUGAAGAGGGAGCAGCGGGAGACACUCCCCCACUGUUUCAGUCAGUGAGCGCGUGUCCUAGGUGGAAAAUGAGACUCUGCAGUUCUGUCUGUGGGUAUGAGUGGCUGCUGCCUCGAGAGGCCAAGCCCCUCACCUCACCACGAAUCCUUCUAGGUCCAUUGCUUUCUCACAACCUGGAUCCUGGAAUCAAUGUAACGGCUUCACUGGGGGUUCAACUAAAGAAGGGAUAACCUAGGGUCAUUUUGACUCUAUGUGACUUUCAUUUCAUCUGCAUCAUUUAAGAAUAUUGUCUUUGUGUGUAAUGUGGUUCCACUAUGUGUUUUUGUACAUGGGUGUGCAUGUGUGUGUAUAACAGGAAGUAAUGGGUACAUAUGUGACUCACUGGAAUUUUUUGCCUUGACACCAAAAGCAAUGUCGUUUCCUCAGUUUCCUGAGUUUACUUACAAGCAGGUUAUAUGAGUGACAACUUUUCUAAGAUAGCUCUAAAUUAUGUUUGU